GGCUGCAGCGUGAUCGCCUGCU
rnacentral:miRNA from 1 species